UACGUAGGGGGCAAGCGUUGUCCGGAAUCAUUGGGCGUAAAGAGCGCGUAGGCGGUCCGGUAAGUCCGCUGUGAAAGUCCAGGGCUCAACCCUGGGAUGCCGAUCGAUACUGCCGGACUAGAGUCCGGAAGAGGCGAGUGGAAUUCCCGGUGUAGCGGUGAAAUGCGCAGAUAUCGGGAGGAACACCAAUGGCGAAGGCAGCUCGCUGGGACGGUACUGACGUUGAGACGCGAAAGCGUGGGGAGCAAACAGG
rnacentral:rRNA from 1 species